CGCAUCUGUGCAUGCAGCAUAUCAAUAAGCGGAGGAAAAGAAACUAACAAGGAUUCCCUUAGUAACGGCGAGUGAAGCGGGAAGAGCUCAAAUUUGAAAUCUUCAAGGUUUUACCUUGACGAAUUGUAGUUUAAAGAAGUGUUUUCUGCUGAAGUUUUGGUAAAAGUUCUUUGGAAUAGGACAUCAUAGAGGGUGAGAAUCCCGUAUUUGACCAUUAUUUUCAGCUUUGUGAUACACUUUCAAAGAGUCGGAUUGUUUGGGAGUGCAGUCCAAAAUGGGUGGUAAAUUUCAUCUAAAGCUAAAUAUUGGCGAGAGACCGAUAGCGAACAAGUACUGUGAGGGAAAGAUGAAAAGAACUUUGAAAAGAGAGUUAAACAGUACGUGAAAUUGUCAAAAGGGAAGCGUUUGACACCAGUGUUGUUUUCUCGAAAAUCGAUUAAAAAUGGCUCGAUUUUGUAUUGCUGAGACCUUAAAAGCUCACUGUACAUUUUUCGUGUCUUUUUUAAUGCACUUUUCGUUUAACAAGUCAACAUCAGUUUCUUUUGUUGUAAAAAGGUCAUUGGAAGGUGGCUUUCUUUUCGGAGAAAGUGUUUAUAGCCUUUGGCCUCUGCAAUCGGAGAGACUGAGGUCUGCAGCGUAGACUCUUCGGGGUUAGAUACAUUUGUGCUAAGUUAUAGCUUUUUAUAGACAACUUGCUGACUAUAAUUAGUCUUGUAGCUUACUCGCUUAUGUUAUUCUACCUACGCUUAGGAUGUUGAUAGUCACAGCGUGUAC
rnacentral:rRNA from 1 species